AACCAAGGUGAUUCCCUCUCCAAGGGGACUCACAGUGCCCCUCUUCAGGAAAGUAGCAACUUGGAAUAAAAUCUGGCAUGCCUCAGGUUCUCGGGGAGAAGGUGAUACGUCAUUUCCUUUGCCUCUGGCUGCCUACAUGU